rnacentral:sRNA from 1 species
GUCGGGUGUGGUGUCGCAUGCCUAUGAUCCCAGCCACUUGGGAGGCUGAGACAGGAGGAUCCUGAGUUCAAAGCCAGCCUCAGCAAUAGCGAGGUGCUAAGCAACUCAGUGAGACCCUGUCUCUA